rnacentral:rRNA from 1 species
CGAACGCUGGCGGCAGGCCUAAUACAUGCAAGUCGAACGGCUCUUCGGAGCAGUGGCGGACGGGUGAGUAACGCGUGGGAAUGUGCCCUUUGGUACGGAACAACACAGGGAAACUUGUGCUAAUACCGUAUGUGCCCUUCGGGGGAAAGAUUUAUCGCCAUUGGAGCAGCCCGCGUUGGAUUAGGUAGUUGGUGAGGUAAAGGCUCACCAAGCCUACGAUCCAUAGCUGGUCUGAGAGGAUGAUCAGCCACACUGGGACUGAGACACGGCCCAGACUCCUACGGGAGGCAGCAGUAGGGAAUCUUGCGCAAUGGGCGAAAGCUUGACGCAGCCAUGCCGCGUGAGUGAUGACGGCCCUAGGGUUGUAAAGCUCUUUCGCAGGUGAAGAUAAUGACGGUAACCUGAGAAGAAGCCCCGGCUAACUUCGUGCCAGCAGCCGCCGUAAUAC